rnacentral:lncRNA from 1 species
AGCUAGACAAGGCCACACCCUCUGCUCACCUGGUCAUUCCCUGGUCCACUUCUGAGGCAGACGUGUGCUGCUGAUGGGAGACAAGGACACAAUGAAAGGGGCUGCAAGGGGCAGAAGGCCUGGCCAGCAGAAACAAGGUGUCUCCCACAGGGAAAAUGGGAGGAUUUCCUCCAAGGAAAACCUGUCUGUAAAAGAGAAGGGAGGAGAUCGACAGCCCUCAGAAAGACAGAGAGAAAAACGAAGCAUGGAGACACAAGAGGGCUCUCAGAGCAAAGCAGAGGUCACCAGGCACAAGCGAUGCAGAAGCCGGGAUGACUUCCCUGAGAGUCACAAGAGAAACGGCCAUGGAGAAGAGAAGGUGAGGGGACAACUACCCCCAGCCCAGUGGAGAUCUAAGGAGCAUCCAAACUCCUGCAGAGCAGGACUUUACCACAGAGCAGGUUCUGCCCAUACUUCCGGGCGUCUCCACGACAGGGGGGCCCGGUUCCGAUCGCCAAUGUGGGCCCGGGGCCAGAGACGCUGCCAGUGCAACCCAGAGUCCAGGCCCGCCUCGCCCAAGCGCCCUCGCAGAAGCCAGUCACCUGAAGCCGCCGCGCCCCUGGAGGAGCUCACGUCCAAGCUCUGCAACCAGAUGGGAGCCCUUGAAGUGGUCCUGGAUGAGUUGCGGGCCCCGGGGGGCGCCUUCCUACCGGUGCCCACCGAUCGCACGGAGCCCACGGCCUCGCAGCGCUCCUGGCUCACCUGGCAGCUGACGCACGCGGGCGCCGCCCUGCACUGGGCGCUGACGCGCGCCGCGCACCACCGACCUCCGGGCCCGCAGGUCUACCCGCCCUGGGCGCCUGGGCCUUAGGGGCACACCUCGCCUUUCUCCACCACUUCUCUGGUCUUGCAAGGCUCUGAGGCAGCAUCUCAGUACCCUGAGGCGAAGAACUUCCUCCACAAAAGACAACAACCCACCUGUCUAGGGGACGAUAUUCCUCAGGGACCAGACCUCAUCGCCUGCGCACUCCAGCUCAGGGAGAUGUGUUCCUGUGUCCAGAAGUCAGCCUGCUAGGAUGUGCAUUCAGAGGACAACGCUUGUUUAAUCCUAUGGCUCAGAUUGCAAACCUUAGUGAUGUGAUUUGUGCCUUUUGAUCCCUCCAUAUUUCCUGUUUUACUUGAAAAAUGAAAUGAGAGACAGGUGGAUGGGGGGUGGCGAUGAGAAAGAACAAUAGACAGGUGAGAUGUAGAGACAGAGAUAGAUUCCUGGAGUGGGUUCCACUCUACGGAACAAUUGUCUUUUUUGGGUUUUUCUAGAGAUUGGGUUUUUUGAGGUUAUGGUUAGAAACCUACCUUGAACAAAUCUUUAUAUCCAAUGAGAAAUUGGAUUGUAUGAAGAACUUUGUAGAUUUUUGGUGUUGAAAUUAAAACUACAUUUCUACUUAUUAUAGAGCAUGUGUUCUACGUGGACUGCAAUAAAUUUUUAAAUAUUGCAAUCUUUUGUCA